CAUGCUUGGUGAAGCUUUUGCCCUUAAGAAAGCAAAAGCUACUUUUAAGCAGAUUUUUCUUUUAAUGUAGAUU
rnacentral:tRNA from 1 species